rnacentral:rRNA from 1 species
CCAGCAGCUGCGGUAAUUCCAGCUCUAAUAGCGUAUAUUAAAGUUGUUGCAGUUAAAAAGCUCGUAGUUGGAUUUCGGGUGGGUUUCAGCGGUCCGCCUAUGGUGAGUACUGCUGAGGCCCUCCUUUCUGUCAAGGACGGGCUCCUGGGCUUCACUGUCUGGGACUCGGAUUUGGCGAUGUCACUUUGAGUAAAUUAGAGUGUUCAAAGCAAGCUUACGCUCUGAAUACUUUAGCAUGGAAUGACACGAUAGGACUCUGGCCUAUCUUGUUGGUCUGUAGGACCGGAGUAAUGAUUAAGAGGGACAGUCGGGGGCAUUCGUAUUUCAUUGUCAGAGGUGAAAUUCUUGGAUUUAUGAAAGACGAACUACUGCGAAAGCAUUUGCCAAGGAUGUUUUCAUUAAUCAAGAACGAAAGU